CAGGCAAGUUCAUUUUGGGAACCCGGGCCCCGGUCCAGAUUGAAUCCUCAGGGUGAACCACACGCGUGCGUACGGCGUGCCAUAAACAGUAAACACUUCCUGCCAAAUAGUGGUCCCUAACAACAGACAAAGCGGUGUGGAAUCAAUACGAAGCCAUUCAACAACAACAACAAAACACAAUACCCCAAUGUGUCCAGACAGCCUCCCCAAGAAGUAGAGAGUAGAGACAUGUCAGGAGGAAGUGGCUCAGCGCAUAUGGACGACUCGCAGGACCUGCCUGACUUGCCGACCAAGAAGGCCAGACAUGAGCUGGACGUUGGACUGAACCAAGAGCCAAGGGGACUACGUGAUGACCAGAUCCCUCCUACUCUCUUCGGCUCAGGAGAUCAGGACAAUUCAUACUCUACGUUGUCUAAUGCCCAGCUUGAUGGAGCGGUGGCCAGCAGAGCGCUCACCACAACAACAGCCUCUGAAUAUAACUCCCACAUCUACCAAGGAAGCAGGUGAAUAUCCUCUGCUGUGAUUGGUUAUUCAGUGUUUCCUGGUCCUGCGGAGCCAAAUGGGUGCACAAGUUUUGUAAUAUCACUAACAAGCCUGAAAAUCUAAGGUGUGAUGACGAGUUGUUUUGUUGAAUCAAGUGUGAUAGUGCUAAGACAAAAACCAAAAUGUGCCCCCCUUUAGGUCCCCGGGACCAGGAUUGGGAAACACCUUGUAUGUUGGGACUUGCAUGCCUGUUCAAAUAAAACUUUAUUGUUCCCGCAGGGAAAUGCAUGGUGCAGCCAGAUGUAAUCGGUGUUAUGAUGAUUCUAGU
rnacentral:lncRNA from 1 species